ensembl:lncRNA
UAAACUUCAAUUCUCAUCCCACAAAGCCUGACUGUUCACAAUUCAUUAAGCAUUUCUAAAACAAACCUUCACUGGUGACUGGAUUACAUAAUCAUUUGCAUUAAUUUAAGCAGCUGGUGAUUCCCUGUGUUCCUGUGAUGCCCUGAUGACCCCGUAUCCUGAAGACUGAAGAUAUUACCUGUCAGCAAAGGAUUCACAAAUUUUCAGAGUUGCAUUUGUUGGAGCAGAUCUGGUGUCCUGCUGGAAUAUUCUGUCCAUGAGAAAUUGAACUUCCUAUUGCCCAGUUUGCUUCUCCAUUAGCAGUCAGCUGGACUGCGGAACUCAGAGGUGACCAUUAUAAACUUAAUCACCUUGGCAUGGCAACUGAACCGCUGGCAUGCAAGUGAAAAAUAAAGCAGUCAGGGGAAAUGAAGCUUAAAUUUUU